UUGAACGCUGGCGGAAUGCUUUACACAUGCAAGUCGAGCGGCAGCGCGGGGGCAACCCUGGCGGCGAGCGGCGAACGGGUGAGUAACAUAUCGGAACGUACCCAUUGGUGGGGGAUAACACAUCGAAAGAUGUGCUAAUACCGCAUACGACCUGAGGGUGAAAGGGGGGGAUCGCAAGACCUCUCGCCGUUGGAGCGGCCGAUAUCGGAUUAGCUAGUUGGUGAGGUAAAGGCUCACCAAGGCGACGAUCCGUAGCUGGUCUGAGAGGACGACCAGCCACACUGGAACUGAGACACGGUCCAGACUCCUACGGGAGGCAGCAGUGGGGAAUUUUGGACAAUGGGCGGAAGCCUGAUCCAGCCAUUCCGCGUGAGUGAAGAAGGCCUUCGGGUUGUAAAGCUCUUUCGGCAGGAACGAAACGGUCUUUUCUAAUACAAGAGGCUAAUGACGGUACCUGAAGAAGAAGCACCGGCUAACUACGU
rnacentral:rRNA from 1 species